rnacentral:rRNA from 1 species
CCCCCUUUUUGAGGGAACUGCCAUGAAUUACUUAUUCGGGACCGAUUAAUACACGGUCGUCGGCGCCAUUAUGUAUUCCCCGCUCGCAAUAGGCCUUAAUAACCCGCAUUUCCCACGCAUCCGCCAAAUUAUUCAGAUAUCAAAUUAAAGUCGCGAAUUGCGACAACGCGAUAUCUUUGACAAAAUGAUCUCACUCAAUCUCCGUUCGCCUUAAGGUACACAUCGCCAUUUUACGCAUUUAUAUACCUCCUUGUGGUCUCCGCAUCCGCCGAACGACCCUGAAAUGACUGCGACUCCGUGCUUUCGCACCCCUCGUUUGUCCUAAUCUAUGGGACCAUCAGGUGCGGCAUUUGCUACUCAUGAUUCACAGCCCAUUUUGGCCAUGACUUCAAUUGUGUAAUUCAUGAGGCGGACUCAUCAUGCAUGCGUUCAUACUUUGAAUUUCCUUAACUGCCCUGAGGCGUGUUCGCCACCUAGUACAACAAAUUAAGCUUCUAUGUGCUUUUUGGAAUGGUCCAGAACUGUAAAAGAACGCUUCAAUAUCUUUAUAUUACCUCCAAUAGUCCUUUUGUCCACCACGUACCAACAGCAGUCGAGCACAGCACUCUACAAUCCAAUUCAGGAUUUUGCUCGCGUUGGGAACAGCAAUUAACGGUCGUACAUUACUACCCCUGAAAUUGCUCUGACGGUUACUUUUUAACCUCCUUCCACCCCUAAUGCAGUUUAGUAGUACGGGGAAUACUAGACCCGAUGUUUGCACUAUGUUACCAACUAUGUUUCUCAUCGACUUUGCGCUCAAGAAUCGGUUAGAGUGUUUUAGUUAGAGUCAAAGCCUUUGUUUAAAAAGGGGGAGAAUUAAAAAU